CUACGGGCUGCUGCAGCUAAGAAUAUUCCGCAAUGGGCGAAAGCCUGACGGAGCAAUCUCGCGUGAAUGAUGAAGGCCUUCGGGUUGUAAAAUUCUUUCAGCAGGGAAGAAUAAUUUCCAAGGAAAUAUUGGAAAGAUGACUGUACCUGCAGAAGAAGCACCGGCUAAUUACGUGCCAGCAGCCGCGGUAAUACGUAGGGUGCUAACGUUGUUCGGAAUCACUGGGCAUAAAGAGUACGUAGGCGGUUAACUAAGUUAGUGGUGAAAUCCUAAGGCUUAACCUUAGGUCUGCCAUUAAGACUGGUUAACUAGCGUUGUUUAUAGAGGGAGCGGGAAUUUCUAGUGUAGGAGUGAAAUCUGUAGAUAUUAGGAAGAACACCAAUGGCGAAGGCAAGCUACUGGGUAACGACUGACGCUGAGGUACGAAAGCUAGGGUAGCGAAUGGGAUUAGAUACCCGAGUAGUC
rnacentral:rRNA from 1 species